AGAACUUACGAUCUUGAGGUCAUUCAAAUUAUCUGCAACCGGAAGCUUAUUGUCCCCGGCCACGCGAAUUAUUUCUUCCCUAGCUUUGUCUUGCCAUUCCACAUGCUUUGCCAAGAGCAGAAGUGCCCAGCUCAGAAGAUUAGCAGUCGUUUCCUUUCCUGCAAAGUAGAAGGUCUUGCACUCGUCUAUAACUUCCUCUAUCCCUAAUUUCUCCUCUUUGCCGUCCUGAUUCUUGUAAGGAGACAUCAACAGACUAAGCAGAUUUGUUGAAUCUUCACUUCUUUCGCAGUUACUCGCGAUCAACAUCCGUAUUGAUUCACGAGUUUCCUUGUCGAGUCUCCACCUUUCUCGGUUAUUCUUGGUAGGCAAAAACCUGCAUUCAAAGGAAUUCAAUGAGUUUGGUAUCAGUCACAUUUCGCCUUUGAAAUUUGGACGGAAAGCCACCUGAAUCCCGGAAUGUAGAUGCUCCUGACUGCCUUGGAGAACAGAUGCAUUUGUUGUUCUUGUAAGUCGAAAACACGCUUUCCCUCCUCAAAACUGGUUCCGAAAGCUGUCCUUGAUAUCACGUCCGCUGAGAGGUCAUGAAGUUCUUUGUGCACAUCGAUUUCAAACUCAUCUCUCCCUCCUCUUACAUUCUCCCACUUCUCCAACAUCUUCAUGGUACUCCCCACAAUAUCUGGCACCCAACCCUGCAUCACAGAAAGAACCCAACAACAACAUCAAAUAAAUCGUUUCCCAAAGCAUUUGAUAGAAGAAACUUGAAAGUGCUUUUAAAAGCACUUGCCAAAGUACCUCAAGAAUCACUUACAAGCAAAAAAUCUUCGCUUAAUCUUGCAUAUUAUGAUAUAAAGGCUAAAGUAUCAUUAAGUUUCUUAUCCUAAAUCAUUAAGUUUAGCACAAAAUUCAGUUGUCGCGAUUUAACUCAUAUAGCUACCAAUUAUUUCGAAACAUAAAACAUCAUCUAAUUUACCCUUGCAUAUCUAAUUGUAAUAUCCACAACUUAUACUUAAACUACAAAAGAAGUAAGGUUUGUGUCCAUCCGUUUUUCAUACAUAAAGUUUGCUCAUACCGCCAAAGUUCCUUUACUUAAAAAAUACUUAAAUUGUAAAAGUUAGUAAACUACUAUGAUUAAGAGAUCUUUUGGAUGUCUUCUUAAAAUAACUGAAAACGUUUUUUGUGGAAAUAUUUUUAGAACCAAUUCUUAGUAAAAAUACAAAUAAAUUCUAGAAAAAUACUUUAAAUGCUUUUGAAACAAAAAAAAAUAUUUUCUCUAAAAACACAUACAGUGAUUUUAAAGGCCUGGUUUAUAAUAUGCCUAAAAGGAAAAGCCCAAUUUGGGAAUCUCCAUUCAAUUAAGUGGGUUCAUAGAGUAAUUACCUUGACCCGCUCCAUUUUAAAGGCCUGGUUUACGAUCCUUCUAUGAAAAGCCCAUUCCUCUCCCUCAAGCCCAAUAACUCCCUCUCCAAACAAAGUUUUGGUCAACGGGUUAAACUGUAAUCUCCGAAACGACCCACUCGUAUUCGUCAACACUUCCUUGAUCAUGUCGGGGUCGGAUACUGCCAGCCUGGCCCUGGACCCGAACCAGUAGAGGAAAUUCUUCCCGUACAUGCGGGACCACGUGUGGUAAAAUGGGGACGCGAGGUGAAGAUUGUCGUGGUCAAAAGGGCCCCGCUUUGAGAGAGCUUCCGCGAACAGACGGCGGAUCUCGGCGGAGUUCCCGAAGAUCGGACGGUAGGCGGGCCCCCGUAUGCCUUGCUGCCGGAAGUGAUGUUGCGUCCUCAGCGGGACCCAUAUCGUGGAGUUUACAAAUUUGGAGAGGAAGAAAAGUAGAGGAAGGAAAAGAACAGCGAGGAGGAGAAGGAAAUGCAUAAUCUCAGUGUAUCAUUUUUUUUUUUGAAAGAAUCUGAGUGUAUCAUUAGCAUAAAGAGAGAGUGAGAGAAGACGAAGACUUAUUGGUUCCUAAUACAUCAUGCAUGACGUACACCAACGUAAUCCUUUUUAACAAAAGGGUGUGACAUCCACACCCUAUUUUACUUCUCACAUAUUUUUUUAAUUUUCGAUCUUCGGAUCGGAUGAAUUUCAGAAGAUCAACGGACAUAAAUUAUCAAGUGAUAUGUGAAAAGUAAAAUAUGGUGUGUAGAUAGCACACCCCUUGAACAAAUUGUAAAACUAGCUUUGAGUUUUAACAAUAAGAACAAAAUAAAAUGUAAAGUGAAUAGUAUCAAGAUUGACUUUUUAGUGUAAAAAUGUAGUUUUUCAUUAAAUUGAACAAUAUCAGGAGUUUUUCGUUAAAGUUUCUAAAUAGGAUUUUUGAAGUGCUAAUAACAAUUCCAUUUAAUAAAAUCACUAAUGUUUUGGAAUUUAGAGUUAUGACUAUUUUAUUAUCGGAUAGUACUGUUUACAUAAUUAUUUUUUAUUUUUAACACACUUUUUUAAUUUUCAAUCAUCAACUUAAAUAAACUGAAAAAAAAAUUAAUAUAGCUUGCCCCCUUAUGCGUAUGAGAAGUAAAAAUAAAUCGGUGUAUGUACUACAUACUGCAUUCAUGGCAGUGUUGAAUAUCACAAAGAAACUUAUCCAAAAAAUGGGGCAAUUCAGUUAGUUACGAGCAUCCAUUCCUGCAUGCGAUCCUAAGUUCGACUCACUCUAAACCUCAACUGCCGCUUGAAAAAACAACUUGUUAGUUGGUAAUUCAAAAAAAAAAAAAAUUGAAAGAGGUCCAAUUUUAUAGCUCAUAUUUUGAAAUAGGUCGAAUUUUUAGUGAUUUUUUAUUUUUGAAAUAUGUCCAAUUUUUAGUCCAAUUGGACCUAUAUCAAAAGACCCCUAAAAAAAUUAGAUCGAUGCUAAGUAGUAGGGCUAGAAAUUUUUUUCCAGAAAUCCUAAACCAAAUAAAAAAAAAUUCGAUCCUAUACCGAAAUUUUUUCAAAUUUAUUAUAUUGAACCGAACCGAAAAAACAUGUAUAUUUAUUUUUGUUACAUGCAUGUUAAAUGUUGAAUUUAAGUAGUUUGAUGGUAGAUUAUAUUAGAAACAGAAGUAUGAAAUUAAGUAGGUUGAAACUUUGGAACAUCAAUUUGACUUGGUAUGAAUGAAUGAAUAUUUCAAUUGGUAUAGAAUUUCAAAUUAAUAUGAGAUAAAAAACACAAAUUUCAAUUGAUAUGAAAUUUGGAACAAAAUUUUAGGCCGAAAGCCUAAAUUUUGGCCCACAUUCAAAAAAUCUCAAAUUUUAUCCCAAAAGUCCAAAAGCCAAAAUCUAAUUCUGAUCAAUCCCGAAAUACUAAAAGUAUUUCAGGAAUCUUGAAAAUUGGGAAUACCAAAAUUUCGGUUUGGGAUUAGUCUUCAAAUUCCCGUCUCAAAAAUUUUCGGUUUGAGAUCCCAUACCGAACCACCUCUGCUAAGUAGUGUCACGGAUCGUUAAAAUACAUUACGAUGUAGAUCUCACAAAAAUGUGUCAAAACUUGUGUAAAAAAAUGAUGUCAUGAAUUUGCCUCCAAUAGAAUUAGAUAGAUAAAGAAUAGUAAUUUAUUACUCAUUUCUUAUAUCUUCUAUGCUUGACUUGCGCAGUUUCUUUUUAUUUCAAGUAAUUAGUGCGGAAAGAAAAUUCGAACUUAGUGUAAGAGAACGAUCAAAGUCACAAGUGAAAUUCAACUUACAGUCUUAACGUCACCGAAAAUAAGGGGAAAUUUCGUAGAAAAUACAAUCACAUAUGGUUACAAUAUGACUUUAGGAAUCUGUUUUCUAAAGCUUCAUUGUACAAUACCUAAUUAGAAUCUUCAAUUUGAAAUCCUGCUAAAGAGGAUUUGAGCGCCAUACCGUGGCUGCAAGGUUACGAACAACGUUGGGGCAUGAACAUAUGUUGGAGACACCGUGAAAGAAUAGCGCCGGAUGACGGUUGCUAACACAAGUUUCGCUUCAACAAGAGCCAAGUUUUGGCCUGCACAGAUUCUAGGACCCAGACCAAAUGGAAAGUACGAGGCUAAAUGGCUUCGAGGCUCGGAAAACCUCAGCGGGUUGAACUCGUUGGCAUCUUCUCCCCAUAUCUCAGUGUCGUGAUGGACCGCGGCCAAAGCCAAAUAAAGCUGUGUGUCUGCAGGAAUGUCCAGGCUCCCAAGCUUAACCUUCUUUGUUGCUUGCCUCAAAAUCACAACCGCCGGAGGAUACAGCCUAAGUGUUUCGUUAACGAUCAUGCUAACCUGUUCAAAACGGGAUAGAAAAUAAACAUGCAUGGGGAUGCAGCAAACUAAUUGUGCAAUUUAAGUACAAAAAUUAACUUUACAGAACUUACAAUUUUGAGGUCAUUCAAAUUAUCUGCAACCGGAAGCUUAUUGUCCCCCGACACGCGAAUUAUUUCUUCCCUAGCUUUGUCUUGCCAUUCCACAUGCUUUGCCAAGAGCAGAAGUGCCCAGCUCAGAAGAUUAGCAGUCGUUUCCUUUCCUGCAAAGUAGAAGGUCUUGCACUCAUCUACAACUGCCUCCAUCUCUAAUUUCUCCUCUUGUCCGUCCUGAUUCUUGUAAGGAGACAUCAACAGGCUAAGCAGAUUUGUCGAAUCUUCACUUCUUUUGCAGUUAUUUGCGAUCAACAUCCGUAUUGAUUCGUGAGUUUCCUUGUCGAGUCUCCACCUUUCUCGGUUAUU
rnacentral:lncRNA from 1 species